rnacentral:rRNA from 1 species
UACGGAGGGUGCAAGCGUUAUCCGGAUUCACUGGGUUUAAAGGGUGCGUAGGUGGGUUGGUAAGUCAGUGGUGAAAUCCCCGAGCUUAACUUGGGAACUGCCGUUGAUACUAUCUGUCUUGAAUACCGUGGAGGUGAGCGGAAUAUGUCACGUAGCGGUGAAAUGCUUAGAUAUGACAUAGAACACCAAUUGCGAAGGCAGCUCGCUACACGAAUAUUGACUCUGAGGCACGAAAGCGUGGGGAUCAAACAGG